UUGUUAUCUAUAUUUUCCUGUAGUCCCUAUAUUUAGUACAACACCUACUAUAUAUAAAGGGGCAGUUGACACUUGGGAACAGUGGUACUACAUAGUGUCAGCAGCGAACGCGUCUUGUGACGUCACAACCAUGAAAAUAUUAUUUGCUUUGUUCGUCCUGUGUGUGGUCACUUUGGCCAAAGGAAACGAAGAGAAUUCUCCACAAGUUUCUGUUGUACAUAAAGAUUAUGGACCGAAAGCCGGCCCGGCUUUAGUAACGGCGAAAAGAAUAGAACGUGGAUAUUAUCACCCUGAACCCCCCAGCAUGGUUCGUCAUGUCAAUAGACCAAUAAGACAUAAAAGACCAGACAUCAGAAGACCAGGGCAUAGGCGCCCAGGACAUAGGAAACCAGAAAACAGAAGAUUUGAGAGGCAACGUCCUCACAAGAGACCUAUCCGUCGUAGACAUCAUAAGAGAACGGCUUAUUAAGAUGAUUAAAUAUAUAAUUUCAUUUACCUAUUUAUUUUUAAACUUAUAAGUUA